UGAGUAACGCGUAUCCAACCUGACCCACCACCUGGGAUAACCUUGCGAAAGUAAGACUAAUACCCAAUGAUAUCCCACGAAGGCAUCCGAAUGGGAUUAAAGAUUUAUCGGCAACGGAUGGGGAUGCGUCUGAUUAGGUUGUUGGCGGGUAACGGCCCACCAAGCCCACGAUCAGUAGGGGUUCUGAGAGGAAGGUCCCCCACAUUGGAACUGAGACACGGUCCAAACUCCUACGGGAGGCAGCAGUGAGGAAUAUUGGUCAAUGGGCGGAAGCCUGAACCAGCCAAGUAGCGUGCAGGACGACGGCCCUAUGGGUUGUAAACUGCUUUUAUGCGGGGAUAAAGUGGGCCACGUGUGGCCUUUUGCAGGUACCGCAUGAAUAAGGACCGGCUAAUUCCGUG
rnacentral:rRNA from 1 species